GACGAACGCUGGCGGCGUGCUUAAUACAUGCAAGUCAACUUGACUUUAGAUAGCAAUAUCGAAAAGUAGGGUGGCGCACGGGUGCGUAACGCGUAGGUAAUCUGCCCUGAGGUCUGACAUAACCCGUCGAAAGGCGGGCUAACAUCAGAUGAUAUAUAAUCACGACAUCGUGGAAAUAUCAAAUCUUCGGAGCCUUGGGAUGAGCCUGCGUCUGAUUAGGUAGUUGGCGGAGUAAUAGCCCACCAAGCCUACGAUCAGUAGCUGGUCUGAGAGGAUGAUCAGCCACACUGGAACUGUGACACGGUCCAGACUCCUACGGGAGGCAGCAGUAAGGAAUAUUGCUCAAUGGGGGAAACCCUGAAGCAGCAACGCCGCGUGAAGGAUGAAAUACUUUUGUAUGUAAACUUCUGUAAGAUGGGAAAAUAUUCUCCUCGGAGAAUUGAUUGUACCAUCAG
rnacentral:rRNA from 1 species